UACGAAGGGGGCUAGCGUUGCUCGGAAUCACUGGGCGUAAAGGGUGCGUAGGCGGGUCUUUAAGUCAGGGGGGAAAUCCUGGAGCUCAACUCCAGAACUGCCUUUGAUACUGAGGAUCUUGAGUUCGGAAGAGGGUCGUGGAAUUCCCAGUGUAGAGGUGAAAUUCGUAGAUAUUGGGAAGAACACCGGUGGCGAAGGCGGCGACCUGGUCCGAUACUGACGCUGAGGCGCGAAAGCGUGGGGAGCAAACAGG
rnacentral:rRNA from 1 species